AUCGUCGAGGUCCACGUUCGCCGAGAAGUUCUCCGUGUCGCUGCUUUUGAGACUUGGAUGCUACGUGCGGAAAAAUGCGAUGGGGUUCCUCACUGGCAGUUUUCCAUUUAGGUAAUACGUGUGAAAUGCGAGUGCACCGAUUGCAGUUUUAAAUAUCGGUGAUCGACUCACCGAUAUUUAAAAAGCCGGUUCAGAUUUGGCCUUUUUUUUUUUUUUUCCGUCUGAAAAGUCGCAAAACAGAGGGAAAAAGUCGCUAAGUUGUCAACAUUUGAUUUCGAUUUGCAAUCAAAAUUUUGAAUUUUGAAUUGACUGUUGCUAACUGAACAUGUGCAGAUGAGAACUGAUCUGCACAUGCUGAUCAGCAGGGAGACGUCUCUCACCACAGAGCGAAAGGAUAUGGUGAUUCCUUUGUGAGACCUUUGCGGUGGUGGAUGAGAUCGGUUUGUCAAGUAUCGGCCGAUUUCGCAAAAUUAAGGAAAUCGGUGCACCCUUAGAGUAAAA